rnacentral:rRNA from 1 species
UACGAAGGGUGCAAGCGUUACUCGGAAUUACUGGGCGUAAAGCGUGCGUAGGUGGUUGUUUAAGUCUGUUGUGAAAGCCCUGGGCUCAACCUGGGAAUUGCAGUGGAUACUGGGCGACUAGAGUGUGGUAGAGGGUAGUGGAAUUCCCGGUGUAGCAGUGAAAUGCGUAGAGAUCGGGAGGAACAUCCAUGGCGAAGGCAGCUACCUGGACCAACACUGACACUGAGGCACGAAAGCGUGGGUAGCAAACAGG